AGAUGUGAGGGCGAUCUGGCUACCACAUCUGUUACCCCACUGAGUACCAGCGUGGAUUCGGCUGAUCUGGCUGGCUAGGUGGGUGUCCCCUUCCUUCCUCACCACUCCAUGUGCGUCCCUCCUGAAGCUGCGCACUCAGUCGAAGGGGACGACCCUCCCAGAACAGAGACCAAAUGGUCUUCUGAAGAGGGGGUAUGAAUGGCUACACUCCCCUGCUAGAACCUCCAAAGGAGCUCUGAAGAAAGGCAUAUUUCCAUCUGGGCACUAGUCUGCUAUUAUCUCUAGGU
rnacentral:snRNA from 1 species